UACGGGGGGAGCAAGCGUUGUUCGGAUUUACUGGGCGUAAAGGGCGCGUAGGCGGUCAGCACAAGUCAGUUGUGAAAUCUCCGGGCUUAACCCGGAAAGGUCAACUGAUACUGUGCGACUAGAGUGCGGAAGGGGCAACUGGAAUUCUCGGUGUAGCGGUGAAAUGCGUAGAUAUCGAGAGGAACACCUGCGGCGAAGGCGGGUUGCUGGGCCGACACUGACACUGAUGCGCGAAAGCCAGGGGAGCGAACGGG
rnacentral:rRNA from 1 species